CAAGUCCUCCCAGUCAGUGGUCAGCACAGAACACAGGCCACUCACCAUGGACUUUAGGCUCAUAAUGGUUUUCUUUGUCCUUAUUUUAAAAGUUAUCCAGUGUGAAGUGCAGUUGUCGGAGUCUGGCAGAGGCUUAGUGCAACCAGGAAAGUCCAUGAAACUCUUCUGUGCAGCCUCUGGAUUCUCGUUCAGUAGUACAGCAAUGGGCUGGGUCCGCCAGGCUCCUGGGAAGGGGCUGGAGUGGGUCGCAACCAUUAUUUAUGAUGGUACUAUCACCUACUAUACAAACGCUGUGAAGGGCCGGUUCACAAUCUCCAGAGACAAUGCCAAGAACACUCUGUACCUGGAAAUGAGCAGUUUGAGAUCUGAAGACACGGGCAUAUAUUACUGUACAAGAGACACAGUGAGUGAAUGUUACUGUGGACUCAGACAAAAACACACCUGUGGAGAACCCAGAACCAGCAGAGGGCGCCAAGAGCACUCACAGAAAAGCCUGCACAGAGAAACAUGA